rnacentral:tRNA from 2 species
GGGCGCUUGGCUCAGUUGGUAGAGCACCGCCUUCACACGGCGGGGGUCAGUGGUUCGAGUCCACUAGCGCCCACCA